rnacentral:rRNA from 2 species
AGUGAAGCGGGAUGAGCUCAAAUUUAAAAUCUGGCUGGUUUACUAGUCCGAAUUGUAGUUUAUAGAAGCGUUUUCGGUGGCAGCCUGGGUAUAAAUCCUUUGGAAUAGGGUAUCAUAGAGGGUGAGAAUCCCGUCUUUGACUCAGUGCAUGCUACUAUGUGAUACGUUUUCAAAGAGUCGAGUUGUUUGGGAAUGCAGCUCAAAAUGGGUGGUAAAUUUCAUCUAAAGCUAAAUAUUGGCGAGAGACCGAUAGCGAACAAGUACCGUGAGGGAAAGAUGAAAAGAACUUUGAAAAGAGAGUUAAACAGUGCGUGAAAUUGUUGAAAGGGAAACGUUUGACACCAGUUAUGCGGGUGGAAAAUCAGUCUUUUGCAAUGGGGAGUUGUGGGCGUUCAGACCGCAAGGCUGGCGUUUGCUUCAUCUUUGUUGUAAGUGAUGCACUUUUUCAUUUGCAGGUCAACAUCAGUUUGCUUUGCUGGACAAAACCCCAAGGGAAGGUGGCAGCUUAGGCUGUGUUAUAGCCCUGGGGCGAUACAGUGGAGUGGACUGAGGUUUCGCAGUGUGUGCUCUCGGGCAAGGCUGACUGGGUGCUAUGGGAUCGUUCGGCGUACAAUGCAUGCAUUUUGCGUCGUGUCUUUUUUAUACUCGCUCAACUCGGCUC